rnacentral:rRNA from 1 species
UACAGAGGUCCCGAGCGUUGUUCGGAUUCACUGGGCGUAAAGGGUGCGUAGGUGGCGCCGUAAGUCGGGUGUGAAAUUUCGGAGCUUAACUCCGAAACUGCGUUCGAUACUGCGGUGCUUGAGGACUGGAGAGGAGACUGGAAUUCAUGGUGUAGCAGUGAAAUGCGUAGAGAUCAUGAGGAAGACCAGUGGCGAAGGCGGGUCUCUGGACAGUUCCUGACACUGAGGCACGAAGGCCAGGGGAGCAAACGGG